CUGUUUUGUUAGUGUACACGGCGCUCAUUGGUUGGUUUGGACAUUAUGACCCACUUUCAACACUUCCAGCUACAACUCAUAGCGUCUUCUCCCUGCCAUAGCGAUCUAGACAGAAACAAAGAAGAAGACUUUUUUGUCAUCAUACUUUUGAGUAACAGCCUAAGCUCAUAAUGGCAGCCGCUAAAGGUCGUGGCAAGAAAGCAGCUGGCGAUUCUGGAGCUGUAGCUAAAGCUACAAAGAAGACGCCAAAGAAGCCCGCUGAGAAGAAAGGGAAGAAAGCAGGAGGAGUCAAGAAGGCCAAAUCCAAGGCAAAGACAAAGAAAGCUGCCACCCCCAAGAAAUAAGCCAAUUCCCAGUUUAGCCUGUAUUUUUUCUCCCACUUUUUAUGUUUGAUAUUAUUGUUAAUGCAUAAAGCAAACCUGGAAAACUUAGAAUCAAGAAACUUUUGUGGAGGCCAGGGCUUGUUAUUUUUUGUGAUAUGGUACACAUAAAAUUUUUACUAUACAUGGUUUUCAUUGAGAGCAAAAAUAUUUGAAUUUAAAUUUUUUUUCGGUGGUCAUCUUGCAAA